rnacentral:rRNA from 1 species
GUUGAACGCUGGCGGCGGGCCUAAUACAUGCAAGUCGAGCGGACGGACGGGGAGCGCGCCUCGCUUAAGUUAGGGGCGGGCGGGUGAGGAACACGUAGAUAACCGGCCGAUAAGGAUGGGGUAAGUUCGGGGAACCGGAGACAACACCGGACAAGAGUUUGAAACGGAGGGUUCAAAAGAGAAAAACGGUCUUGCUGUGACUUAGAGAGAGUACCGCGCUGCAUUAGCUAGUUGGUAAGGUAACGGCUUACCAAGGCAACGAUGCAUAGCCGACCUGAGAGGGUGAUCGGCCACACUGGAACUGAGACACGGUCCAGACUCCUACGGGAGGCAGCAGUAGGGAAUCUUCCGCAAUGGGCGAAAGCCUGACGGAGCCACGCCGCGUGAGUGAUGAAGGUCUUCGGAUCGUAAAACUCUGUUAUUAGGGAAGAACAUAUGUGUAAGUAACUGUGCACAUCUUGACGGUACCUAAUCAGAAAGCCCCGGCUAACUACGUG